AGAUCAGAAUGUUGGUCGUGCCUUGGUACGUACUGGCAUUAUUGGUUUCUCCCUUCUGACGAACCAUGAUGUCAUUAAUUUGGUGUCGCAGGGAAUCAGGACUGUUACUUUGAAAAAAUUAGAGUGUUUAAAGCAGGCUCACGCUUGAAUACAUUAGCAUGGAAUAACGAAAUAGGACGUUUGAUUCUAUUUUGUUGGUUUCUAGGAUCGACGUA
rnacentral:rRNA from 1 species